rnacentral:rRNA from 1 species
UACAGAGGGUCUCAAGCGUUGUUCGGAUUCAUUGGGCGUAAAGGGUGUGUAGUGGCGCGCUAAGUCGGGUGUAGAAAUUUCGGAGCUUAACUCCGAAACUGCAUUCGAUACUGGCGUGCUUGAGGACUGGAGAGGAGACUGGAAUUCAUGGUGUAGCAGUGAAAUGCGUAGAGAUCAUGAGGAAGACCAGUGGCGAAGGCGGGUCUCUGGACAGUUCCUGACACUGAGACACGAAGGCCAGGGGAGCAAACGGG